GUGGAUAGACUCUGAAAGGUUCUUGCCUGUUAGAGUGAGAUGGACUUUUGAACAGUUACCAAAUUUCUCCUGCACAUUCACUGUCUUCUUAGGAUACGCAUUCAGAUUUCUUCCACAGCGCCAAAUACCUGUGACUCACUACAAAAGGAAAAACCCAUGGGACCAAAACAUGGUUUCUGAUGGCAUUUGCAACUUCUUGGCAACCUACCACCUGAUUAUUCUUUUUCUCUGAUUGUGCUAUAUCAAUAGUGACAUUAUUAUCACUCUCCCACUAAUUUAUUCAUGACUCACAAAGACUUGGGAUCUACUAUAGUUCAGUUAUUUUUUCUGAAUCUUAAGGAUUCAGUGGAGAAGAAAACAGAAAUGGAUCAUGAUUUCACACAAUUUAUAGUCUAGUGACUGAGACACAGAUGAAUAGAGAUAAUAUAUGAGCUGGCACCCCGGAAGGAAAUUUCCUUAAAAGUUUUCAAAUGAGGUUGAAGUUGAGAAAGGCAGGAAGGCAUUACGAGAGAGAGGGAGGAGAGAGAAAGAGACAGAGAAGAAAGUGGCCUGCUUUGUCUGGAUUCCAGUUCUUUCUCCAACCCUUCUCUGUGUGUGACCUUGGACUAGUCACUUGACCUCUCUGUGUCUCUAUUUCCUCAUCAGAAAGGUGAUUGAUGACUAAAGCUCCAACUUCCUUCCUCACAUCACUGAUGUUACGCAUGUAGGACAUGAAGUCUGGAUGAAAGGGCCUUGGAACUCAUCCGGGAAGUUUAGUCCAUCACUUUACCAAGCUAAUUUGCGACAAUCAGUCUUAGGGUGGCCCUACAGAAACCACAGUUAUUUCCAGUCUGAGCUGUUUCCCAGUUGGGACAAACAGGAAUAAUUGCCCCUGAAGAGGCCUCUGAAGUGAUUGAUCCACCUGUGUUAGGCAGGCAUAUAGUCCAGGUCUUACUGCUUCUAGCUACUUGGCACCCCUCCAUUCUCUGCCUCCAUCUCCGACCUGCAGGUUAUAUUUUUCCUUCAAUGAGUUCCCUUGCUCUUUAGACUGCCCUUGGCACUCCUGUAAUAGGCAUUUUCACACAUGUAGAAAUAGGAAAGAUGAGAGAUCGCGCAGAACAAUUUGUCUUGGUCAAUGGAUUACCUGUAGAUCAUCAGGUUGACUGAAAUUUUGAGGUCUAUGUUGUGUCCCUUGCAAUAUAAUUUUAACACAGUAUCUUUCUGAUGAUAUGGUCAUUUAAGUGAGCACUAGCAAUGCACAUGUUGCUGUGUGUGCUGAAAUACUCCCAGACUAGGUCCAAGUUAUGGACGAAAGUGUAUUGUUCUCAACGACCUCUAGCCUGGUGCUACUCCAAGUGGUGAUCCAUAGACCAGUGUCCAUCUACAAAAUUUUUAUUCCAGAUCCACUUUGGAACAAGAACAGAAAUUAAGAGCAAGAGUUUAGGAACAUUAAGGCAAUUGUACAGUGAUUUUAUGUCUGUUGAAUCUAGUAAUUAAAAUGUGUAAAACAAAA
rnacentral:lncRNA from 1 species